UUGAAAGGGAAACGAUUGAAGUCAGUCGUACCAGCGGGAAAUCAACCUUUCGAGUGGGGGUUUUGGAGUUUUGAAGAGUUUCAAAACCUUUGAGAUUUCAAAAAUUUCGCUCUUUUGGUGUACUUUCUCGUGGGUAGGUUAACAUCGAUUUUGAUCAUCAUAAAAAGAUUGGAGGAAUGUAGCUUCGAUCUUGUAUUGAAGUGUUAUAGCCUUUGGUAAAUGUGAUGAUUAGGAUCGAGGAUUGCAACGAAUACCUUUUGGGCUAUCCGCCUGAUCUCUGAUACGUGGCCUUGGUAUCGAAAGCUUGCUUAUGGUAUUAAGGAUGUUGACGUA
rnacentral:rRNA from 1 species